GAUGAACGCUGGCGGCGUGCUUAACACAUGCAAGUCGAACGGAAAGGCCCAAGCUUGCUUGGGUACUCGAGUGGCGAACGGGUGAGUAACACGUGGGUGAUCUGCCCUGCACUUCGGGAUAAGCCUGGGAAACUGGGUCUAAUACCGGAUAGGACCACAUUUUGGAUGGUGUGGUGGAAAGUUUUUCGGUGUGGGAUGAGCUCGCGGCCUAUCAGCUUGUUGGUGGGGUAAUGGCCUACCAAGGCGUCGACGGGUAGCCGGCCUGAGAGGGUGUACGGCCACACUGGGACUGAGAGACGGCACAGACUCCUAAGGGAGGCAGAAGUGGGGAAGAUUGCACAAGGGGCGCAAGCCUGAUGCAGCGACGCCGCGUGGGGGAUGACGGCCUUCGGGUUGUAAACUCCCUUCGCUAGGGACGAAGCGUUAUGUGACGGUACCUGGAGAAGAAGCACCGGCUAACUACGUG
rnacentral:rRNA from 1 species